UACGUAGGGUGCAAGCGUUGUCCGGAAUUAUUGGGCGUAAAGAGCUCGUAGGCGGUCUGUCGCGUCGGCUGUGAAAACUCGGGGCUCAACUCCGAGCUUGCAGUCGAUACGGGCAGGCUAGAGUUCGGCAGGGGAGACUGGAAUUCCUGGUGUAGCGGUGAAAUGCGCAGAUAUCAGGAGGAACACCGAUGGCGAAGGCAGGUCUCUGGGCCGAUACUGACGCUGAGGAGCGAAAGCAUGGGGAGCGAACAGG
rnacentral:rRNA from 1 species